rnacentral:tRNA from 1 species
GGAGAGAUGUCCGAGUGGCUUAAGGAGCACGCUUGGAAAGCGUGUGUGCGGUUCCCGUACCGGGGGUUCGAAUCCCCCUCUCUCCG